GUGGCCUAGUGGUCUUGGCAUCUGCCCGGUAAGCGGAAGGUCGUAGGUUCGAUUAUCCCUUAACA
rnacentral:tRNA from 1 species